AGAAAACGUGCACGCUCUGUAGGAGACCCUCCACAGACCUCUAAAAGGGAGUUUUUAGGACAUGGCAAGCCGAGGGGGAGGCAAGGAGGGCGACGCCAAGCUUCAGCUACAGUCACACACACCCCGGUUGAAUGCUCCCUUUCAUCCAGUGUGGAGGUUCCACUUACUGUACCCUCAGCAGAACUAAAUCCUCACGAGCAAUUUGGUAAAUCAAAGUGAUGAAUUUAAGUUUAAAUCUAAAAUCCAUGUGUGAUUAAAGAAAAACCCUUUAGACAAAACUGACUGCCGUAAAUAGAUUAAGAACACAAUUUAGUAAAGAUUAAAGCUAGUUUGAUACUGAAUCAUGAAAUGGUGUUUAUUCUAAAUAUUGAUCAAUUGACUUUGUGGUCAAUUGGUGGGGUUGAUAGGUGGGGUAGAUGAGGACAAUUGGUCCUCAUCUAAAUUGUCCCUUACAGCUUUAUUUCAUAUUUUCUUUACAGAAAAAAAUAUGGAGAGGCUCUCCGAUAUUUUGACGUCUUAUCCUUCUGCUGAGCCUCAGAAAAGCUCUGCAUCAUCAUGGUCUUUUCGGCAGCAGAAAGCCUCAGAGCGCUGGAAAGAAGCAAGACCAUACCACCUAAAAUGCCUUAUUGCAAAAGAGGCUGUUGGUCAGCCAUUGUGUUGGCUUUGCCAUGAGCCUGCUGUUAUUAGGUGCAGAAAGUGUCUUCCUGAGGAGUGGUUCUGUGGGGACUGUGAUGUAUUGCAUCACAAAAAACAGCCACUCCACAACAGGGAAUGUGUGAAUAAUGUUUUUUUUUAA
ensembl:lncRNA